rnacentral:rRNA from 1 species
AUUGAACGCUGGCGGCAGGCCUAACACAUGCAAGUCGAAUGGUAACAGGAAACAGCUUGCUGUUUCGCUGACGAGUGGCGGACGGGUGAGUAAUGUCUGGGAAACUGCCUGAUGGAGGGGGAUAACUACUGGAAACGGUAGCUAAUACCGCAUAACGUCGCAAGGCCAAAGAGGGGGACCUUCGGGCCUCUUGCCAUCAGAUGUGCCCAGAUGGGAUUAGCUAGUAGGUGGGGUAACGGUUCACCUAGGCGACGAUCCCUAGCUGGUCUGAGAGGAUGACCAGCCACACUGGAACUGAGACACGGUCCAGACUCCUACGGGAGGCAGCAGUGGGGAAUAUUGCACAAUGGGCGCAAGCCUGAUGCAGCCAUGCCGCGUGUAUGAAGAAGGCCUUCGGGUUGUAAAGUACUUUCAGCGGGGAGGAAGGGAGUAAAGUUAAUACCUUUGCUCAUUGACGCUACCCGCGGAAGAAGCACCGGCUAACUCCGUG